rnacentral:rRNA from 1 species
CCUACGGGUGGCAGCAGUGGGGGAUAUUGCACAAUGGGGGAAACCCUGAUGCAGCGACGCCGCGUGGGCGAAGAAGUAUUUCGGUAUGUAAAGCCCUAUCAGCAGGGAAUAAGAAAUAACGGUACCUGAGUAAGAAGCACCGGCUAAAUACGUGCCAGCAGCCGCGGUAAUACGUAUGGUGCAAGCGUUAUCCGGAUUUACUGGGUGUAAAGGGAGCGCAGGCGGCACGGCAAGCCAGAUGUGAAAGCCCGAGGCCCAACCGUGGGACUGCAUUGGGAACUACCGGGCUGGAGUCCCGGAGAGGUAGGCGGAAUUCCUAGUGGAGCGGUGAAAUGCGUAGAUAUUAGGAGGAACACCAGUGGCGAAGGCGGCUUACUGGACGGUGACUGACGCUGAGGCUCGAAAGCGUGGGGAGCAAACAGGAUUAGAUACCCCGGUAGUC